AACGAACGCUGGCGGCAUGCCUAACACAUGCCAGUCGAACGAGACCUUCGGGUCUAGUGGCGCACGGGUGCGUAUCGCGUGGGAACCUGCCCUUAGGUUCGGAAUAACUCCCCGAAAGGGGUGCUAAUACCGGAUAAUGUCUUCGGACCAAAGAUUUAUCGCCUUUGGAUGGGCCCGCGUUGGAUUAGCUAGUUGGUAGGGUAAAAGCCUACCAAGGCGACGAUCCAUAGCUGGUCUGAGAGGAUGAUCAGCCACACUGGGACUGAGACACGGCCCAGACUCCUACGGGAGGCAGCAGUGGGGAAUAUUGGACAAUGGGCGAAAGCCUGAUCCAGCAAUGCCGCGUGAGUGAUGAAGGCCUUAGGGUUGUAAAGCUCUUUUACCCGGGAUGAUAAUGACAGUACCGGGAGAAUAAGCUCCGGCUAACUCCGUG
rnacentral:rRNA from 1 species